GCUCCAGUGGUGUAAUGGGUUAGUACACAAUACUUCUAAGGCAGUACUUGUAGGAGAUGUGCUGUGGUUGUGAGUUUGAACCUCACCUGGAGCA
rnacentral:tRNA from 1 species